AUUGAACGCUGGCGGCAUGCUUUACACAUGCAAGUCGAACGGUAACAGGGAGCUUGCUCCGCUGACGAGUGGCGAACGGGUGAGUAAUGCGUCGGAACGUGCCGAGUAGUGGGGGAUAACGCAUCGAAAGGUGUGCUAAUACCGCAUACGUACUGAGGUAGAAAGUGGGGGACCUUCGGGCAUCACGCUAUUCGAUCGGCCGACGUCUGAUUAGCUAGUUGGUGAGGUAAAGGCUCACCAAGGCGACGAUCAGUAGCGGGUCUGAGAGGAUGAUCCGCCACACUGGGACUGAGACACGGCCCAGACUCCUACGGGAGGCAGCAGUGGGGAAUUUUGGACAAUGGGCGCAAGCCUGAUCCAGCCAUGCCGCGUGUCUGAAGAAGGCCUUCGGGUUGUAAAGGACUUUUGUCCGGGAGCAAAUGCUGGUGGCUAACAUCCACCGGAGCUGAGAGUACCGGAAGAAUAAGCACCGGCUAACUACGUGCCAGCAGCCGCGGUAAGAC
rnacentral:rRNA from 1 species